CACCGCGGUUAUACGAGAGGCCCCAGUUGAUGAAUACCGGCGUAAAGCGUGGUUAGGGAAGACACAAAAUAAAGCAAAAGACCCACCCAGCCGUUAUACGCAAAGGAGGACACGAAUCACUAUUACGAAAGUAGCUUUAAUUAUAACCACCCGAACCCACGACAGCUAGGGCA
rnacentral:rRNA from 1 species